GUGCCAGCAGCCGCGGUAAUUCCAGCUCCAAUAGCGUAUAUUAAAGUUGUUGUGGUUAAAAAGCUCGUAGUUGAACCUUGGGCCUGGCUGGCCGGUCCGCCUCACCGCGUGCACUGGUCCGGCCGGGCCUUUCCCUCUGUGGAACCCCAUACCCUUCACUGGGCGUGGCGGGGAAACAGGACAUUUACUUUGAAAAAAUUAGAGUGCUCCAGGCAGGCCUAUGCUCGAAUACAUUAGCAUGGAAUAAUAAAAUAGGACGCGCGGUUCUAUUUUGUUGGUUUAUAGGACCGCCGUAAUGAUUAAUAGGGACAGUCGGGGGCAUCAGUAUUCAACUGUCAGAGGUGAAAUUCUUGGAUCAGUUGAAGACUAACUACUGCGAAAGCAUUUGCCAAGGAUGUUUUCAUUAAUCAGGAACGAAAGUUAGGGGAUCGAAGACGAUCAGAUACCGUCGUAGUCUUAACCAUAAACUAUGCCGACUAGGGAUCGGACGGUGUUAUUCAUGACCCGUUCGGCACCUUACGAGAAAUCAAAGUGCUUGGGCUCCAGGGGGAGUAUGGGUCGCAAGGCUGAAACUUAAGGAAAUUGACGGAAGGGCACCACCAGGGGUGGAGCCUGCGGCUUAAUUUGACUCAACACGGGAAACUCACCAGGUCCAGACACAAUAAGGAUUGACAGAUUGAGAGCUCUUUCUUGAUUUUGUGGGUGGUGUGCAUGGGCCGUUCUUAGUUGGUGGGGUGACUUGUCUGCUUAAUUGCGAUAACGAACGAGACCUUAACCUGCUAAAUAGCCCGCAUUGCUUCCGGCAGUGCCGCUGCUUCUAGAAGGGACUUCGCUCAAGCCGGAGGGAAGUUGAGGCAUAACAGGUCUGUGAUGCCUUAGAUGUUCUGGCCCGACGCCGCUACCUUGAACGGGGUCAGCCAGU
rnacentral:rRNA from 1 species